GCUCGUUGGGUAUAUCAACCUUGCCACUGGCAGCUCACCACAGAACAUUUAAGCUUGCCACUCUUCUCUUAGAAUGAAGGCUCUGCCAAGCAGCCAAUAAUCCCUUCAUUGCAACUCAGGGAGAAGAGAGAUGAAGUAGAGUGGGUGGAGGUGUGCGGAAGAGUUUCCCAUCCUAAUACGUCAAAGUGAUCUAGAUGUAGAGGUUUCGACUACCCCUACAGUACCAUGUCUGCCAUGUGUGCCACUGUGCUUUCUGCUAUGAUGAUAAAAGAAGUUUAUAAACUACACCUCUGAAGCUGUAAGCCAGCCCUGCCAUGGUCAUGGAGUCUCGUCACAGCACUGACUAAGACAAUGCCUUUGGGUCAUUCUCCUGAUUGAUGACUGACAUGGGAUGGCCCACUGUGGACAUGGGAUGCUCACUGCACCCCACUAUCACUCAGGAUGGGAAGAUGAAGGCUGAACUGAAAACAUUUACUGAUGAGCCAAGGAUGCUGAGGGACCUGGGACCAGAAUCAAUGCAGCUGUCACCACCCUGAGGCUUGAAGGACUGGCAGGAUUGUCAGAGUCUGAUAAGAAAUGAGCUAUGUUAGGGGGAACCUCCCACAGGAAGGCUCCUCUGCUGUACAGGAAGGGUGAGCUGGGAAGCCUGCCGAGCCAUUCCAGGCAUGUGCAAACCUGGAGAUGCUGAGGGGUUGAUGAACAGCCCUGGGGCCUCCAUGAACCAAGGUUCUGUUUCAAGCAUCAAGAUGGCAGCUCACAGCCAUGGAACUCCAGUUUCAGGGGAUCUGGUGCCUUCCUCUGACCUCCAAGUCUUUGGAAACACAAAGAUAAAUCGACUGUCCCUGCCAAGGACUUUACAGAUUGGUGGAGGAGUCGUACCCUCCAGAAGAAAGUGUGUUGAGAACCCAAGCUGGAAUUCACACGAACCACCUCUCCGUCACAGCCUGAUGGCAUUGGGGUAACCUUCUGACCAGCUGUCUUCUGUGGUGGUUCUUGGCGCAAAGCAGGAUCUUGAUGAGCAGAGCCACGGAUCAGGUAUUUUGCCAGAGUGAUGCAGAAAUAACGCAUGCUGGAAGACUCCCACCAGAGUUCAGACACUUGCCCGAUGUUCUUGAACUUUUAAGACUGUGAACAAAGUAAACUCCCCCC
rnacentral:lncRNA from 1 species